CAAGAAAUAGUUUAUUAAAAUAUUAAUUUUGGAGAUUAGAGAUGAAUUAUUUAUUCUUUCUUGA
rnacentral:tRNA from 1 species